rnacentral:rRNA from 1 species
GACGAACGCUGGCGGCGUGCUUAACACAUGCAAGUCGAACGGAAAGACCCUGCUUUUGUGGGGUGCUCGAGUGGCGAACGGGUGAGUAACACGUGAGUAACCUGCCCUUGACUUUGGGAUAACUUCAGGAAACUGGGGCUAAUACCGGAUAGGAGCUCCUGCUGCAUGGUGGGGGUUGGAAAGUUUCGGCGGUUGGGGAUGGACUCGCGGCUUAUCAGCUUGUUGGUGGGGUAGUGGCUUACCAAGGCUUUGACGGGUAGCCGGCCUGAGAGCGUGACCGGCCACAUUGGGACUGAGAUACGGCCCAGACUCCUACGGGAGGCAGCAGUGGGGAAUAUUGCACAAUGGGCGGAAGCCUGAUGCAGCAACGCCGCGUGCGGGAUGACGGCCUUCGGGUUGUAAACCGCUUUCGCCUGUGACGAAGCGUGAGUGACGGUAAUGGGUAAAGAAGCACCGGCUAACUACGUG